rnacentral:rRNA from 1 species
AGAAUCAACGCUGGCGGCGUGCCUAACACAUGCAAGUCGAACGAGAAAGUGGAGCAAUCCAUGAGUAAAGUGGCGACCGGGUGAGUAACACGUGACUAACCUACCUUCGAGUGGGGGAUAACAUCGGGAAACCGAUGCUAAUACCGCAUAACAUCGCAAGAUCAAAGCAGUAAUGCGCUUGAAGAGGGGGUCGCGGCUGAUUAGCUAGUUGGCGGGGUAAUGGCCCACCAAGGCAGUGAUCAGUA